AAGAGUAAAGGCAUUUAUAUCAGAUUAAUCAAAUCAUGCUAAGUAAUGGUAUUUAUAUUGUGGCGUAUAUAUUGGAUCAUUCCAAUUCUUUAAGUUUACAAGAAUCGGUCAUAUGCAAAGUAAAGGUGUUUAUAUCGGACAAAUCAAAUUCUUUAAAGUUUACAAAAAUCAGUCAUUAUGCAAAGUAAAGGUGUUUAUAUCGGACAAAUCAAAUUCUUUAAGUUUUCAAGAAUCAGUCAUUAUGCAAAGUAAAGGUGUUUAUAUCGGACAAAUCAAAUUCUUUAAGUUUACAAGAAUC